GACGAACGCUGGCGGCGCGCUUAACACAUGCAAGUCGAACGGAAAGGCCUGCUUUCCCUUGUGGAUUGCGGGUACUCGAGUGGCGAACGGGUGAGUAACACGUGAGUGAUCUGCCCCCAACUUGGGUAUAAGCCUGGGAAACUGGGUCUAAUUCCCGAUAGGACUGCAGGGUGGUGCCUGUGGUGGAAAACGAUUUUCUAGUGGUUGGGGAUGAGCUCGCGGCCUAUCAGCUUGUUGGUGGGCUAAUGGCCUACCAAGGCGGCGACGGGUAGCCGGCCUGAGAGGGUGGACGGCCACAUUGGGACUGAGAUACGGCCCAGACUCCUACGGGAGGCAGCAGUGGGGAAUAUUGCACAAUGGGCGGAAGCCUGAUGCAGCGACGCCGCGUGGGGGAUGACGGCCUUCGGGUUGUAAACUCCUUUCGACCGCGAGGAAGCCACCUGGUUGGAAGGGUGGUGACGGUAGUGGUAGAAGAAGCACCGGCUAACUACGUG
rnacentral:rRNA from 1 species